UCCAUCCCACUGCAUCUUCAAGGGCAUAGAAAUUAGUGCUUCUAUCUGCUCCAAUGUGAUUUCAGGGGGAAGAGAUUUCUAGCUUCGAUCUUCUCUGUUAGAACUUCAAGGAGGUAGGAAUUGGUAAUUUCAACCUGCUCCACUGUAACUUCAGGGAGAUAAGGUUGGUGGCUUAAAUCUGCUUCUCUACUUCCUCGGGAAGAUAAGACUCGCCGUCUUUGAUCUGCUCCACUACUGCUUAGGGAGACAGGAUAUACAAUCUUCAACCUACUCCACUACUGCUCAGGGAGAUAGAACUGGUGGCUUAAAUCUGCUUCCCACUAUCUCGGGAAGAUAAGAUUCGCCGUCUUCGAUCUGAUCCACUAUUGCUUAAGGAGACAGGAUCUACAAUUUUCAACCUACUCCACUGCUACUCAGGGAGAUAGGACUGGUGGCUUAAAUC
rnacentral:lncRNA from 1 species